rnacentral:rRNA from 1 species
CCAAUAGCGUAUAUUAAAGUUGUUGCAGUUAAAAAGCUCGUAGUUGAAUUUCGGGAUUGACACAUCGGUUGUGCCCUAAGGGGUAUGAACUGGUGUAGUCAAUUUCUCACCUUCUGGAGAACCGCGCUGUCCUUAAUUGGGUGACGCGGGGAACCAGGACCUUUACUUUGAAAAAAUUAGAGUGUUUAAAGCAGGCAUUUUGCUUGAAUACAUUAGCAUG